rnacentral:rRNA from 1 species
CGAACGGCAGCACGGCAGAGCUUGCUCUGUGGGUGGCGAGUGGCGGACGGGUGAGUAAUGCAUCGGGACCUACCCAACUGUGGGGGAUAACGUAGGGAAACUUACGCUAAUACCGCAUACGUCCUACGGGAGAAAGCGGGGGACCUUUUAGGCCUCGCGCGGUUGGAUGGACCGAUGUGCGAUUAGCUUGUUGGUAAGGUAACGGCUUACCAAGGCGACGAUCGCUAGCUGGUCUGAGAGGAUGAUCAGCCACACUGGGACUGAGACACGGCCCAGACUCCUACGGGAGGCAGCAGUGGGGAAUAUUGGACAAUGGGCGCAAGCCUGAUCCAGCAAUGCCGCGUGUGUGAAGAAGGCCCUCGGGUUGUAAAGCACUUUUAUCAGGAGCGAAAUCUGCAGGGCUAAUACCCAUGCAGUCUGACGGUACCUGAGGAAUAAGC